UACGGAGGGGGUUAGCGUUGUUCGGAAUUACUGGGCGUAAAGCGUACGUAGGCGGAUCAGAAAGUUGGGGGUGAAAUCCCAGGGCUCAACCCUGGAACUGCCUCCAAAACUCCUGGUCUUGAGUUCGAGAGAGGUGAGUGGAAUUCCAAGUGUAGAGGUGAAAUUCGUAGAUAUUUGGAGGAACACCAGUGGCGAAGGCGGCUCACUGGCUCGAUACUGACGCUGAGGUACGAAAGUGUGGGGAGCAAACAGG
rnacentral:rRNA from 1 species